GGGGCCGACCGGAAUUGACAGGAUGGCGGCAAGUAUGUAAGCAUGCAGCGCAUUGUGAGUAAAGCGCUUAAAUCUGAACUCUCAACCUUAUAAAUGGCGAAAAUAACUACGCCUUAGCUGCCUAAUUUAGAAUUAGCAUAGCUUUUGUCCCGCUAACGGUUUUGUUCUGUACCGGUAGCAAACGGGGCAUCGAUUCACAGAACUGGCUGUAUUAACGGUGCGAUAAUACGGCGAGAUCAAGCACCUAAGGAAGACGGUACAGGCAAGCGACUGGCCUUCCCCUUCCCGACAAUUGAACAGAAGCUAAGCAUGUAGAAAGCAUAAUUUGUUCCAUGUUUGGACGAGGGUUCGAAUCCCUCCGGCUCCACUU
rnacentral:tmRNA from 1 species